AUUGAACGCUGGCGGAAUGCUUUACACAUGCAAGUCGAACGGCAGCACGGACCUCGGUCUGGUGGCGAGUGGCGAACGGGUGAGUAAUGUAUCGGAACGUGCCCAGUCGUGGGGGAUAACGUAGUGAAAAUUACGCUAAUACCGCAUACGAUCUAUGGAUGAAAGCGGGGGAUCGUAAGACCUCGCGCGAUUGGAGCGGCCGAUAUCAGAUUAGGUAGUUGGUGGGGUAAAGGCCCACCAAGCCAACGAUCUGUAGCUGGCCAUAGAGGACGACCAGCCACACUGGAACUGAGACACGGUCCAGACUCCUACGGGAGGCAGCAGUGGGGAAUUUUGGACAAUGGGCGAAAGCCUGAUCCAGCCAUUCCGCGUGCGGGAUGAAGGCCCUCGGGUUGUAAACUGCUUUUGUACAGAACGAAAAGGUUUCUACUAAUACUAGGAGCUCAUGACGGUACUGUAAGAAUAAGCACCGGCUAACUACGUGCCAGCAGCCGCCGUAA
rnacentral:rRNA from 1 species